rnacentral:rRNA from 1 species
UACGUAGGGUGCAAGCGUUGUCCGGAAUUAUUGGGCGUAAAGAGCUCGUAGGCGGUCUGUCACGUCGGCUGUGAAAACCUGGGGCUCAACUCCGGGCCUGCAGCCGAUACGGGCAGACUAGAGUUCGGCAGGGGAGACUGGAAUUCCUGGUGUAGCGGUGAAAUGCGCAGAUAUCAGGAGGAACACCGGUGGCGAAGGCGGGUCUCUGGUCCGAAACUGACGCUGAGGAGCGAAAGCGUGGGGAGCAAACAGG